AAUGAUAUGCCUGAAUAAAAGGAUUAUUUUGAUAGAAUAAAUUAUACAUUUCACUUUAUAGUAUGUUUUCAUUA
rnacentral:tRNA from 1 species